CCUACGGGCGGCUGCAGUGGGGAAUAUUGGACAAUGGGCGAAAGCCUGAUCCAGCCAUGCCGCGUGUGUGAAGAAGGCCUUCGGGUUGUAAAGCACUUUCAGUGGGGAAGAAAGCCUUGGGGCUAAUACCCUCGAGGAAGGACAUCACCCACAGAAGAAGCACCGGCUAACUCCGUGCCAGCAGCCGCGGUAAUACGGAGGGUGCGAGCGUUAAUCGGAAUUACUGGGCGUAAAGCGCGCGUAGGCGGUCUGAUAAGCCGGUUGUGAAAGCCCCGGGCUCAACCUGGGAACGGCAUUCGGAACUGUCAGGCUAGAGUGCAGGAGAGGAAGGUAGAAUUCCCGGUGUAGCGGUGAAAUGCGUAGAGAUCGGGAGGAAUACCAGUGGCGAAGGCGGCCUUCUGGACUGACACUGACGCUGAGGUGCGAAAGCGUGGGUAGCAAACAGGAUUAGAUACCCGAGUAGUC
rnacentral:rRNA from 1 species